GCAAGUCGAACGAGAAAGCAGACUUCGGUCUGCAAGUACAGUGGCAUACGGGUGAGUAACACGUGGGUAACCUGCCCGGAGGUGGGGGACAACUCUUCGAAAGGAGAGCUAAUACCGCAUAACAUCCCGAGGACCUCGGUUCACGGGAUCAAAGUUUGCCUCUGUUUCAUGCAAACGCCACCGGAGGGACCCGCGUCCCAUUAGCUUGAUGGUGAGGUAACGGCUCACCAUGGCUUCGAUGGGUAGCCGGCCUGAGAGGGUGAUC
rnacentral:rRNA from 1 species